rnacentral:rRNA from 1 species
GACGAACGCUGGCGGCGUGCUUAACACAUGCAAGUCGAACGGAAAGGCCCUGCUUUUGUGGGGUGCUCGAGUGGCGAACGGGUGAGUAACACGUGAGUAACCUGCCCUUGACUUUGGGAUAACUUCAGGAAACUGGGGCUAAUACCGGAUAGGAGCUCCUGCUGCAUGGUGGGGGUUGGAAAGUUUCGGCGGUUGGGGAUGGACUCGCGGCUUAUCAGCUUGUUGGUUGGGGAGUGGCUUACCAAGGCUUUGGCGGGUAGCCGGCCUGGGAGGGUGGCCGGCCACAUUGGGACUGAGAUACGGCCCAGACUCCUACGGGAGGCAGCAGUGGGGAAUAUUGCACAAUGGGCGGAAGCCUGAUGCAGCAACGCCGCGUGCGGGAUGACGGCCUUCGGGUUGUAAACCGCUUUCGCCUGUGACGAAGCGUGAGUGACGGUAAUGGGUAAAGAAGCACCGGCUAACUACGUG